ensembl:lncRNA
AUGGCGGUGGUAAGUCCUGUCUCCAAAUGGAAAGGGAGCAACGUCCCUGCAUUGGAGAUGAUCCGCAUCCCAUUUGAGGCUCAUCCCAACCCGGGCCGUGGCACACAUAUUACGCAUGCGCCACCUUCCUGCAGCCGCCUCAGCCGAACCCUGGAUAACGGAUUCCAUCCAUCCCACCUCUCCCCUCCCCCAACCGGAAAUGGGAGGUCGCUAGGGGCGGGGCGUCGCGAGGGCGGUAGUUUUGGGCUUAUGUCGGGGUCCCGACCGCCGGUCCUCCUUUUUCCUCGCCUCCUCUCAGCUCCAUCCCCUCCUUUCCCCGCCAUGGCGGCGGCGGCUGCCUACGUGGUGCGGCUGCUCCUCGGCUCGGUGACCUUGUCGCUCCCGCUGCUCGGGGCUCAGGCGCCCUCCGCCGCCGCCGCCGCCUCCUCCUCCAAGGCGGUGACGGCCAGUUUGUCUGCGAAAUGGCCCGCGACCCCGCUGCUGCUGGAGGCGAGUUCCCGGACUCCAGGUUAAUUGAGCAGCGCUCCCGUAGCCAGCCCACACCACCGCCCUCUCGGCACCGGCAGAUCAGCUGCUACCUCCCCGCCCCGGGUGGGGUGGGGUCGGGUCGGGUCCCCCAGGGCCAGCACCUGCACGCCCGCGCCAGAGGGGUGGCGGCCGAGAGCCCAGGCCGGGGGGCGACGAGCCCCGCUGGAGCCGGGGGAAGGGCGCGGGUCUCGCGGUACCUUGAGUCCAGCGGCAGAAGAUGGUGUCGGAGAGGCCGGGGCUGGUCUUGGGGCCCCACACCAGCUCCACCAGCUCUUUCGUCAGUUUGUACAUGAUGAAGUGCCGCGAUCGGUUUUUGGUUCCAGGCCUCCCGCCCCGAAACAUGGGGACUGGGGAGGCUGGGAAGGCUCGGGCUGAGGCAGCGGUGGUGAAGUGGAGGAGAAGAAGGAGGAAGAGAAAAAGAAGAAAGAGAAGGAGUAAAACAAGGAAGGAGGAGAGGGAGGAGGAGCGGAAGGACGAUGGAAGGCACCGGGCACUUCUGCACGGGAUCCGGCGACUGUCAGCCCAGCCAUCGAGCCGAGUUUCCUCAGGGCCGGAAGUUCUCCUCCGCCACUUCCUCCCCUUUAGUCACACCCACCCGUCAGAGCUCGGGAGGUGGGGGCGGUUUCGGCACGUCCUCCCCGGAAGCGGAAGUGACGACAAAGCGCUUGAGGAGCUCGUUCCUGCUUGAUGGUCAGGGAGCUGUCCAACCCGCUCCCACCUUUGGUUUAGGGUGAACCGAGAUUAGCACGAGGUGGGGGUUUCUUUGGGAGAACACUUUCCAAGGCUCACCUGGGGGCAAGGACCGACCUCCCUUAGUCUAUAAGAGUAUUAUUAUUUUAUGAUAAUAAUAAUGUUGUUUUGUCGUGUCCGACUCUUCGUGACCCCAUUUGGGGUUUUCUUGGCAAAGAUACUGGGAUAGUUUGCCGUUUCCUUCUCCAGCUCAUUUGACAGAUGAGGAAACUGAGGCAAACAGGGUUAAGUGACUUGCCCAGGGUCACACAGCUAGGAAGUGUCUGAGGCCAGAUUUGAACUCACGAAGAUGAGUCUUCCAGAUUCCAGGGUCAGCACUAUCCACUGUGUCACCUAGUUGCCCGAAUAAUAAUAAUAAUCAUAACAAAUUUCAUUUAUGUAGCACUUUAACAAAGCGUUUUACAAGUAUUUUAUGCUCACAACAACCUGGGAGGUAGGUGCUCCUAUAUAGUAAUAAAAAAUAAUCCUCAUUUUUACA